rnacentral:rRNA from 1 species
UACGAAGGGGGCUAGCGUUGUUCGGAAUUACUGGGCGUAAAGCGCACGUAGGCGGAUAUUUAAGUCAGGGGUGAAAUCCCGGGGCUCAACCCCGGAACUGCCUUUGAUACUGGGUAUCUAGAGUCCGGAAGAGGUGAGUGGAAUUCCGAGUGUAGAGGUGAAAUUCGUAGAUAUUCGGAGGAACACCAGAAGCGAAGGCGGCCAACUGGCCCGAUACUGACGCUGAGGCGCGAAAGCGUGGGGAGCAAACAGG